rnacentral:tRNA from 1 species
GGGGUCUUAGCAAAACCAGGCUAUGCGUCCGGCUCCAGACCGGUUGAUGUGGGUUCGAAUCCCACAGACCCCA